rnacentral:lncRNA from 1 species
CGCUUCUAGUAGGCCAAACUCCCAGGUGACCCCCGCAAGAAACGCGGUCCGGAGAGGGUCUGGCCCCACUGCUGGGGCAAGGGCUCUAGGCGCCCGGACCCCACGCCCGCAGCCUGCGGAGAACGUGCCGACAAGGACCUGUAGGGCCCCACUCCCCCUCCUCCCUCCCUCGGCGCAGCCCGGCCCAGGGGUCUGUCCUCCCAGGCCCAGGAAAGGAGGAAACCCACUUCCGCCGCGUCCAUGAUCUCCCGCGGCUUCUCCUGACUCUUGCGGCUGGCGCUGGCGCUGGGCAUCGGGACACGGAACUGGGCAGUGGACACCACCCUCCCUCGCAGGCUUCCAAAGUAAUUUGAAGGCCUUCCCUGACUUAAAGUGGAUGCUGCUUUGGAAAGCACUGGAAAAAUGGAUCCUGUCUUUCUUAGCCAAGGACUGGUCUCUUUUCUCCAAUGUGUCCCUAACAGAGUGGUGAGGCUGGCUCUUCCCACCAGUACAGGAAGAUCAUUCCUUAAAAGAAAUAGCCAUAUGGCUUAUAAGUGUUCUUUCCUGUAUGAAGCCCAAGCUGUCCACUUGGAGAGACAUCUGGCCAGCCCCCCGUUGUUCCAGCCAUCCCCAGUUCAGGCAUCAGACAUGUGGUGAAGAAGCCAUCCUAGAUGCCCAGCCCCAGCUACCAUCUGAUGCAACCACACUGCUCACCCCGAGCAAGAACUGCCUGCAGGAGCCUAGUAUUAUCCUCUCUCACAGAACCAUGGCAGGGAAUAAUAAAUUGUUGUUUGAAGCCA